AACGAACGCUGGCGGCAUGCCUAACACAUGCAAGUCGAACGAGGCCUUCGGGUCUAGUGGCGCACGGGUGCGUAACGCGUGGGAACCUGCCCUUAGGUUCGGAAUAACUCCCCGAAAGGGGUGCUAAUACCGGAUAAUGUCUUCGGACCAAAGAUUUAUCGCCUUUGGAUGGGCCCGCGUUGGAUUAGCUAGUUGGUAGGGUAAAAGCCUACCAAGGCGACGAUCCAUAGCUGGUCUGAGAGGAUGAUCAGCCACACUGGGACUGAGACACGGCCCAGACUCCUACGGGAGGCAGCAGUGGGGAAUAUUGGACAAUGGGCGAAAGCCUGAUCCAGCAAUGCCGCGUGAGUGAUGAAGGACUUAGGGUUGUAAAGCUCUUUUACCCGGGAUGAUAAUGACAGUACCGGGAGAAUAAGCUCCGGCUAACUCCGUG
rnacentral:rRNA from 1 species